AAGAAAUUUAGUGAUAUUCAGUUAGGCCAUGUCAGAAAAUACAAAAUGCAAACUCUUCUUCAUAUGCCAAAGAAACUUAAAAUCCCUAUGAAUCUGCUUGAAUGGAUAGAUCAGCAUAUGUUUGGAAGUAAAGAGCCAUGUUUCAAGCAUAAGAAUAAAGUUAUCAAGAUUACUAAAGAUAUGGUUGACAAAAUUUUCGAUUUCCCUGGCGGCACCGAGCCUUUUGUAUUCAGUAGUGACGAUCCCCAAGUGAAGGCAGAGGUUACACAGUUAAGGAACAAGUAUCUUGAUCAUCGGAACAAAGUGCCAAUCAACAAGAUAGAGGAGGUGAUGCUUAGUGACCAGACAGAAGGUGGUUUUAUUAGGAGCUUCACAUUUUAUUUCCUAUCAUCUUUUGUGUGCCCUACGUCAUACUGCUUUGCCAACAACCAGUUCUUGUACUCUCUAAGAGAUGUUUCUGCUAUCCCAUCACUUGACUUUGGGCAAUUGGCACUGGAUUUCAUGCAUGAGGAAUCAGAACGUCACUUUGAAAUGAUAAUGAACAGACCAAGUGUUGAGGAAAUGAACAAGUCUUCAUAUAUUGGUGGGUGUCUUCCUAUUUGGGGAAUCAUUUAUCUGGAUUUUGUUGAUUUCAACAUUAUUGAGAAUCAUCAGUCAACUGUGGAUUAUUCUCUUCCACGGAUAUCUCAUGUUAAGGCUAAAAAUUUCGACUAUCUU
rnacentral:rRNA from 1 species